AACAACAACAACAACAACAACAACGACAACAACAACAACAACAACAACACACACACACACACACAUACACACAGAGGCCUUCUUCACCUCAUGAGUUCUACCAGCCACUAAGCAAGGCCCAUGAAAAGAGACACAGGCAUUUGGGUCUUGGGCAUGCAAAGUAAGGUGCACACCAUGGAGCUACAUCCCCAGCCUCCUGUGACCAUCUCCCAACAAUGCAGUGGAGGUCAAUUAGCCAUGUCCUAUGGACUCCACACUUGAGAGGGCGGGGAGAAGCCACUCUGUCUUCAGACCAGGGAGCCCAGCUUCACAUUCUCCUGCACAGUCAUGCUCAGAGUGCUCACACCUCUUUAAUUACAUAAAGAAAGUUCUCAGGGAAAGCAUGACAAGAAACAAGAACCCUGAAAUUGUGGGUAAAAUAUAAACAAAUGUUUUGGCUGAUGUAGCGCACAUUUUUUAAUCACACAGUGUGUUUUCAGAGUGCACGGAGCCCUGCCUAGAAUGGCUCAAAUUAAAGAUCAAAGGCAGUGCCGUGACAAGACAGAGUGGUGCUCCAAGCCAACUUAACAUGCCUGCUUCCCUCCCUGCAAACAGCCAUGUGGUCAUCUGCUUCCCUAAGAAGGGUUUGUCUGAAGCCCCCAUUAAGACAUCGAGGAUUGAUUAAAGGAUGAUUUAUUUAUUUAUUUAUUUA